rnacentral:snoRNA from 1 species
AGCCAACACUUUGUAACAGAUUAUCCAGUCUGGCACCAUAUGAAUUUGCCACAGCAAGAAAAUCUAACCUAUCCCAGAAUUCUCUCCUCUGAGAUACAGGCCAUUAUACAGUCUUAAAUUGU